rnacentral:rRNA from 1 species
UACGUAGGUGGCAAGCGUUAUCCGGAUUUACUGGGUGUAAAGGGUGAGUAGGCGGGUAAACAAGUCAGAUGUGAAAUACAAAGGCUCAACCUUUGAACUGCAUUUGAAACUGUAUAUCUUGAGAGUCGGAGAGGUAAUCGGAAUUCCCGGUGUAGCGGUGAAAUGCGUAGAGAUCGGGAGGAACACCAGUGGCGAAGGCGGAUUACUGGACGACAACUGACGCUGAUGCACGAAAGCGUGGGGAGCAAAC